GCCACUGUAGCUCAGUGGAUAGAGCGUCAGCCUGAGACUGAAGGGUCACGGGUUCGAUUCUGGUCAAGGGCA
rnacentral:tRNA from 1 species